rnacentral:rRNA from 1 species
UACGGGGGGGGCAAGCGUUGUUCGGAAUUACUGGGCGUAAAGGGCUCGUAGGCGGCCAACUAAGUCAGACGUGAAAUCCCUCGGCUUAACCGGGGAACUGCGUCUGAUACUGGAUGGCUUGAGAUUGGGAGAGGGAUGCGGAAUUCCAGGUGUAGCGGUGAAAUGCGUAGAUAUCAAGAGGAACACCUGCGGCGAAGGCGGGUUGCUGGGCCGACACUGACGCUGAAGCGCGAAAGCUAGGGGAGCGAACGGG